GUCGAAAGUAGAAGCAGCCACCACAAAUAGAUCCAGACUGAAGGAUGACAAGCUAUAAAGCAAUAAUGGUAAUAUGUGUUGUGUUACUUAUGGUCGCUGAUAUAAAGGCUCAACGUGGUGGCCAUUUUCGAGAGCCAAUGAAGAGAAAUCAAGGCAUACCAAAAGAAGUGGCAGAAACGAGAGAUUUGGGACCAGAUAAAGAGACAGAAAGGAGAGUAAACAGAGGAAGAGGUUAAUAUAUUAUUCACACCGAUCAAACACAAAAGGUUGUUAAUUGACAGAUAAUAGAAAAGUAAACUCAAACGAGUGAUAGUAUACGAUCACACAAAUUGACGUUAUUUUGUGUUAUUAACACACUUAGACUAUUUCUUUC